UUAAGCGACUAAGCGUACACGGUGGAUGCCCUGGCAGUCAGAGGCGAUGAAGGACGUGCUAAUCUGCGAAAAGCGCCGGCGAGGUGAUAUGAACCUUUGACCCGUCGAUGUCCGAAUGGGGAAACCCAGUGUGAUUCGUCACACUAUCGUUAACUGAAUACAUAGGUUAACGAGGCGAACCGGGGGAACUGAAACAUCUAAGUACCCCGAGGAAAAGAAAUCAACCGAGAUUCCCCCAGUAGCGGCGAGCGAACGGGGAGCAGCCCGGAGUCUGAAUCAGCUUGUGUGUUAGUGGAAGCGUCUGGAAAGUCGCACGGUACAGGGUGACAGUCCCGUACACGAAAAUGCACAGGUUGUGAACUCGAAGAGUAGGGCGGGACACGUGGUAUCCUGUCUGAAUAUGGGGGGACCAUCCUCCAAGGCUAAAUACUCCUGACUGACCGAUAGUGAACCAGUACCGUGAGGGAAAGGCGAAAAGAACCCCGGCGAGGGGAGUGAAAAAGAACCUGAAACCGUGUACGUACAAGCAGUGGGAGCACCUUCGUGGUGUGACUGCGUACCUUUUGUAUAAUGGGUCAGCGACUUAUAUUCUGUAGCAAGGUUAACCGUAUAGGGGAGCCGCAGGGAAACCGAGUCUUAACUGGGCGUUAAGUUGCAGGGUAUAGACCCGAAACCCGGUGAUCUAGCCAUGGGCAGGUUGAAGGUUGGGUAACACUAACUGGAGGACCGAACCGACUAAUGUUGAAAAAUUAGCGGAUGACCUGUGGCUGGGGGUGAAAGGCCAAUCAAACCGGGAGAUAGCUGGUUCUCCCCGAAAGCUAUUUAGGUAGCGCCUCGUGAACUCAUCUUCGGGGGUAGAGCACUGUUUCGGCUAGGGGGCCAUCCCGGCUUACCAACCCGAUGCAAACUACGAAUACCGAAGAAUGUUAUCACGGGAGACACACGGCGGGUGCUAACGUCCGUCGUGAAGAGGGAAACAACCCAGACCGCCAGCUAAGGUCCCAAAGUCAUGGUUAAGUGGGAAACGAUGUGGGAAGGCACAGACAGCCAGGAUGUUGGCUUAGAAGCAGCCAUCAUUUAAAGAAAGCGUAAUAGCUCACUGGUCGAGUCGGCCUGCGCGGAAGAUGUAACGGGGCUAAACCAUGCACCGAAGCUGCGGCAGCGACACUAUGUGUUGUUGGGUAGGGGAGCGUUCUGUAAGCCGUUGAAGGUGUGCUGUGAGGCAUGCUGGAGGUAUCAGAAGUGCGAAUGCUGACAUAAGUAACGAUAAAGCGGGUGAAAAGCCCGCUCGCCGGAAGACCAAGGGUUCCUGUCCAACGUUAAUCGGGGCAGGGUGAGUCGACCCCUAAGGCGAGGCCGAAAGGCGUAGUCGAUGGGAAACAGGUUAAUAUUCCUGUACUUGGUGUUACUGCGAAGGGGGGACGGAGAAGGCUAUGUCAGCCGGGCGACGGUUGUCCCGGUUUAAGCGUGUAGGUGUGUGUUCCAGGCAAAUCCGGUUCACUUUAACACUGAGGCGUGAUGACGAGGCACUACGGUGCUGAAGUGAUAAAUGCCCUGCUUCCAGGAAAAGCCUCUAAGCAUCAGGUAACACGAAAUCGUACCCCAAACCGACACAGGUGGUCAGGUAGAGAAUACCAAGGCGCUUGAGAGAACUCGGGUGAAGGAACUAGGCAAAAUGGUGCCGUAACUUCGGGAGAAGGCACGCUGAUAUGUAGGUGAAGUCCCUGCGGACGGAGCUGAAAUCAGUCGAAGAUACCAGCUGGCUGCAACUGUUUAUUAAAAACACAGCACUGUGCAAACACGAAAGUGGACGUAUACGGUGUGACGCCUGCCCGGUGCCGGAAGGUUAAUUGAUGGGGUUAGCGGCAACGCGAAGCUCUUGAUCGAAGCCCCGGUAAACGGCGGCCGUAACUAUAACGGUCCUAAGGUAGCGAAAUUCCUUGUCGGGUAAGUUCCGACCUGCACGAAUGGCGUAAUGAUGGCCAGGCUGUCUCCACCCGAGACUCAGUGAAAUUGAACUCGCUGUGAAGAUGCAGUGUACCCGCGGCAAGACGGAAAGACCCCGUGAACCUUUACUAUAGCUUGACACUGAACACUGGUCCUUGAUGUGUAGGAUAGGUGGGAGGCUUUGAAGCGUGGACGCCAGUCUGCGUGGAGCCGUCCUUGAAAUACCACCCUUUAAUGGCUGGUGUUCUAACGUGGACCCGUAAUCCGGGUUGCGGACAGUGUCUGGUGGGUAGUUUGACUGGGGCGGUCUCCUCCCAAAGAGUAACGGAGGAGCACGAAGGUUAGCUAAUCCUGGUCGGACAUCAGGAGGUUAGUGCAAUGGCAUAAGCUAGCUUGACUGCGAGAGUGACGGCUCGAGCAGGUGCGAAAGCAGGUCAUAGUGAUCCGGUGGUUCUGAAUGGAAGGGCCAUCGCUCAACGGAUAAAAGGUACUCCGGGGAUAACAGGCUGAUACCGCCCAAGAGUUCAUAUCGACGGCGGUGUUUGGCACCUCGAUGUCGGCUCAUCACAUCCUGGGGCUGAAGUAGGUCCCAAGGGUAUGGCUGUUCGCCAUUUAAAGUGGUACGCGAGCUGGGUUUAGAACGUCGUGAGACAGUUCGGUCCCUAUCUGCCGUGGGCGCUGGAGAAUUGAGGGGGGCUGCUCCUAGUACGAGAGGACCGGAGUGGACGCAUCACUGGUGUUCGGGUUGUCAUGCCAAUGGCACUGCCCGGUAGCUAAAUGCGGAAGAGAUAAGUGCUGAAAGCAUCUAAGCACGAAACUUGCCCCGAGAUGAGUUCUCCCUGAGACUAUAAGUCUCCUGAAGGAACGUUGAAGACGACGACGUUGAUAGGCCGGGUGUGUAAGCGCAGCGAUGCGUUGAGCUAACCGGUACUAAUGAACCGUGAGGCUUAACCUU
rnacentral:rRNA from 1 species